GACGAACGCUGGCGGCGUGCUUAACACAUGCAAGUCGAGCGGUAAGGCCCUUUCGGGGGUACACGAGCGGCGAACGGGUGAGUAACACGUGGGUGACCUGCCCUCAGCUCUGGGAUAAGCCUGGGAAACCGGGUCUAAUACUGGAUAUGACUCCAUGACGCAUGUUGUGGGGUGGAAAGCCUUGUGCGGCUGAGGAUGGGGCCCGCGGCCUAUCAGCUUGUUGGUGGGGUGAGGCCUACCAAGGCGACGACGGGUAGCCGGCCUGAGAGGGCGACCGGCCACACUGGGACUGAGACACGGCCCAGACUCCUACGGGAGGCAGCAGUGGGGAAUCUUGCGCAAUGGGCGAAAGCCUGACGCAGCGACGCCGCGUGAGGGAUGACGGCCU
rnacentral:rRNA from 1 species